UGUCAUAGAAAAAAGAGCUAAGCAAGGAAAG
rnacentral:piRNA from 1 species